ACUCCUACGGGAGGCAGCAGUAGGGAAUCUUCCACAAUGGGCGCAAGCCUGAUGGAGCAACACCGCGUGAGUGAAGAAGGGUUUCGGCUCGUAAAGCUCUGUUGUUAAAGAAGAACACGUAUGAGAGUAACUGUUCAUACGUUGACGGUAUUUAACCAGAAAGUCACGGCUAACUACGUGCCAGCAGCCGCGGUAAUACGUAGGUGGCAAGCGUUAUCCGGAUUUAUUGGGCGUAAAGAGAGUGCAGGCGGUUUUCUAAGUCUGAUGUGAAAGCCUUCGGCUUAACCGGAGAAGUGCAUCGGAAACUGGAUAACUUGAGUGCAGAAGAGGGUAGUGGAACUCCAUGUGUAGCGGUGGAAUGCGUAGAUAUAUGGAAGAACACCAGUGGCGAAGGCGGCUACCUGGUCUGCAACUGACGCUGAGACUCGAAAGCAUGAGUAGCGAACAGGAUUAGAUACCCUGGUAGGAUAGCG
rnacentral:rRNA from 1 species